rnacentral:rRNA from 1 species
AGCGAACGCUGGCGGCAGGCCUAACACAUGCAAGUCGAACGAACCCUUCGGGGUUAGUGGCGGUCGGGUGAGUAACGCGUGGGAACGUGCCUUUAGGCUCGGAAUUAUACAUGUACACUUGUGCUAAUACCGAAUGUGUUCCUCGGGGGCAAGAUUAAUCGCCUUUAGAGCGGCCCGCGUCUGUUUAGCCAGUUGGGUGUGGUAAUGCCGCAUCAAGGUGACGAAAAGUAGCUGGUCUGAGAGAAAGAGCAGCCACAUUGGUACUGAGACGCAGCGCAGAAUACUGCGGGAUGCAGCAAUGGGGGAUCCUGCGCAACGGGGGAGAGGAUGACGCAGCCAGGCCGGGUGAAUGAUGAAGUUCUUAAGAAUGUGAAAUUCUUUCACACGGGGCGGUAAUGACGGUACCCGGAGAAGAAGCACCGGCUAACUUCGUG